UACGUAGGCAGCAAGCGUUGUUCGGAGUUACUGGGCGUAAAGGGUGCGUAGGCGGCCUUAUAAGUAUGGUGUGAAAUCUCCCGGCUUAACUGGGAGGGUGCGCUAUAGACUGUGGGGCUAGAGUGUGGGAGAGGAAAGUGGAAUUCCUGGUGUAGCGGUGAAAUGCGCAGAUAUCAGGAGGAACACCGGUGGCGAAGGCGGGUCUCUGGGCCGAUACUGACGCUGAGGAGCGAAAGCGUGGGGAGCGAACAGG
rnacentral:rRNA from 1 species